ensembl:snoRNA small nucleolar RNA, C/D box 114-3
UGGACCAGUGAUGCUGACUGGUGACGGAUGAGGCCUGUGUGAUGGACAGUACCUGUCUGGAGCUUUGAGUUCCAA